AUCUCUAGAAAUAACUCUUCCAUCACUCAAAUACUACAAGCUACAUCCUUCAAAAUUAAAGGAUUUGGCGGUGUUUUAAUCCAAUUAGAGGAACCUGUUCUUUAAACGAUACACCACGCAAUAUCUUACCUUGCCUCAAAGCCUGUAUACCGUCAUUAUCAGACAACUCCCCUAGGACUAGUUGUUUCAAUAAACUUUCCUUAAUAUAUUAGAUCAAGGUGCAGCCCAUGGCUAGGCUUUCUAUGGGUUACAAUAAAACUUAUUUAUACGAAUCUAAAGAUAAAUAUCUUCAGUGAAGGAGGAUUUAAUAGUAAGAUCAGUUCAACAAGCUAAUCUGACAAAGGACCUAAAUCAAGUACAUAUCGCCCGUCACUUUCAUUCACAGAUGAAAUAAGUCGUAACACAG
rnacentral:rRNA from 1 species